rnacentral:rRNA from 1 species
UACGUAGGGUGCAAGCGUUAAUCGGAAUUACUGGGCGUAAAGCGUGCGCAGGCGGUUUUGUAAGUCUGACGUGAAAUCCCCGGGCUCAACCUGGGAAUUGCGUUGGAGACUGCAAGGCUGGAGUCUGGCAGAGGGGGGGUAGAAUUCCACGUGUAGCAGUGAAAUGCGUAGAGAUGUGGAGGAACACCGAUGGCGAAGGCAGCCCCCUGGGUCAAGACUGACGCUCAUGCACGAA